rnacentral:lncRNA from 1 species
CAAUACCAAUUGAAAUAUGAUCUUCUCAAUUUUGACACCAAUUGAAGGAAUCUUCAAAAGCUGAUGCCAAUUGGAUGGGAUGCUUGUAUCUCAUAUUGUCACCUAGGUAAUGCUCACAAGACAAGAGAUAACAUCAAAUUGCACAAGCUAGAGUUUCACAACUAGUGACCUUUUGGAUGUGGAAGGCAUGUAAGUCACUAAUUGCAAAACCUCAUAACAUAGACUAAAUUCCCCCUUUUUGAUAGUGCAUACAUAUAUGUGUG